rnacentral:rRNA from 1 species
AUUGAACGCUGGCGGCAUGCCUUACACAUGCAAGUCGAACGGUAACGCGGGGCAACCUGGCGACGAGUGGCGAACGGGUGAGUAAUGUAUCGGAACGUGCCCAGUAGUGGGGGAUAGCCCGGCGAAAGCCGGAUUAAUACCGCAUGAGACCUAUGGGUGAAAGCGGGGGAUCGCAAGACCUCGCGCUAUUGGAGCGGCCGAUAUCAGAUUAGGUAGUUGGUGGGGUAAAGGCCUACCAAGCCGACGAUCUGUAGCUGGUCUGAGAGGACGACCAGCCACACUGGGACUGAGACACGGCCCAGACUCCUACGGGAGGCAGCAGUGGGGAAUUUUGGACAAUGGGCGCAAGCCUGAUCCAGCCAUGCCGCGUGCGGGAAGAAGGCCUUCGGGUUGUAAACCGCUUUUGUCAGGGAAGAAAUCUUCUGGGUUAAUACCUCGGGAGGAUGACGGUACCUGAAGAAUAAGCACCGGCUGACUACGUGCCAGCCGCCGCGGUAACAC